rnacentral:tRNA from 1 species
GAGGGUAUAGCUCAAGUGGUAGAGUACAUGCUUCGUAUGCACAAGGUCCUGGAUUCAAUCCCCAGUACCUCCU